CCGUCUCUGUCUUUAAGUUUCGUCUUGAAUGAUUUCUCCGGCUAGUUAACUGCUCUAUUUCUGGGUCGAGUGUGUGUGUGGGUGCGCGCGCGCGUACGGGAGGAGAAAGAGAAGCAACCCAGUCAAGUUGUUUUUCGCGAAAACGACAAUUACACGUUCAAAUAAUUCUCAACCACCAAACACUAAGACUUGAGUUCACAGAAGAGGCAGCCGGAUCACAGAACUGCCAAGCACGUCCUAGGGCCGAGGCGACCCCAGCCAUUGUCGAACACGGCCGGCGUCCACGGACCCACAGACACGGAAAGAAGAGGUCGCCACGAGGCUCGCUCCUCUCCCUCACCUGCUCCGCAGCGCCGUCUCCUGACAUGGCCUCCAAUGACCACAACGUGAGCACCGCCGGCGGGUGGGAAGCUA